rnacentral:rRNA from 1 species
CUUGGUCAUUUAGAGGAAGUAAAAAGUUGUACCUAGUUUUCCGUAGUUGAACUUGCGGAAGGAUCAUAUUGAAAUUAUAGGCAAAGGUUGUAGCUGGCCUCUCGGGGCAUGUGCACGCCUGAGCCCCUUAAUCCACACACACCUGUGAACCAAUUGUAAGAGCCCCCUGAAAAGGGCCUUUACGUCUUAUUCAUCAACCCAUUGCAUGUCUCAGAAUGUAAACAUAUGUCCUCGCCUUAAAAAGCGUUGAUAAACUUAUACAACUUUCAACAACGGAUCUCUUGGCUCUCGCAUCGAUGAAGAACGCAGCGAAAUGCGAUAAGUAAUGUGAAUUGCAGAUUUUCAGUGAAUCAUCGAAUCUUUGAACGCACCUUGCGCUCCUUGGUAUUCCGAGGAGCAUGCCUGUUUGAGUGUCAUUAAAUUCUCAACUCCGAUCGAUUUGUUUCGACCUCGGAGCUUGGACUUUGGAGCGUGCUGGCGUCGGUCGGCUCCUCUCAAAUGCAUCAGCGGAAUCUAACGUUUCGGACGUUCAGUGUGAUAAUCACGUUGCGCUGUCAACCGAUCCUGAAAGGCCCGCUCAUAAUGGUCUUCGGACAACUUCAUAUCAAAUUUGACCUCAAAUCAGGUAGGACUACCCGCUGAACUUAAGCAUAUCAAUAAGCGGAGGA